rnacentral:tmRNA from 1 species
GCCGGCUUGUCCGGCUAUGACGCUAAACCCUUUAUGGAAUAAGCGUUGUGGACCCGGGGGCGGUACCCGGCGCCUCCACCAUUCGCCCAAGUCUCCGGCCUCAGCGCCGGAGACCGGGUUCCUGGGGGCGAAAUAGGAUCGACACGCGUGGUAAAGAUAAAGGUUGUGUUCGGCAUGGUAUCCACCGUUAUCGGGCCAACUCUGACAAGUGCCAACGACAACGUUGAACUUGCCGCUGCGGC